AUGUACCCGGCGGGGGCCAUGGUGGCGGCCGCGGCGGCGCCGGCGCGCCAGGCGGCGUCGCGGGUCGACAAGGCCACCAGCCACCUGCUCAUGGGCCCCGACUGGGCCGUCAACCUCGAAAUCUGCGACAUCAUCAACGCCGACGUCUGGCAAACAAAAGAUGUGGUAAAGGCAGUGAAGAAGCGAUUGCAACAUAAGGAUCCGAAAGUUCAAUACUAUGCUUUGACGUUAUUGGAGACGAUGAUGAAGAACUGUGGAGAAUAUGUUCAGUUUGAAGUCGCUGAACAGCAUGUUCUGCAAGAAAUGGUUAAAAUAAUCCAAAAGAAGAACGAUAUGCAAGUAAGGGAUAAGAUAUUAUUACUUUUGGACUCCUGGCAAGAAGCAUUUGGUGGACCUGGAGGUAAAUACCGGCAGUAUCACUGGGCAUAUCUUGAAGUAAAGCGGACAGGUCUAGUGUUUCCAAGACGUCCCAUAGAUGCCCCACCAAUACUUACUCCUCCUGCAAUACACAAUUCUCAAAACUAUGGUUCACCUGGAUAUGCUGCAGGAAGUUUGAAUGAGAGAAUGUCCUCCGAUGUUGAUACUCUGAGUUUAGGAGACUUGAAUAAUAUUCGAAAUGUGACGGAGUUACUGAAUGAUAUGGUGUAUGCUUUGAACCCAUCAGAUCCAGAGGCCGUCAAAGAUGAAAUCAUCACAGAUCUCGUGAGCCAAUGUCGCUCAAAUCAGCAAAAGCUCAUGCAGUUUGUCAGUUCGACAGGGAACGAGCAGUUACUAAAGCAAGGUCUCGAAAUAAAUGAUCGCCUACAAAAUGUGCUUACAAAAUAUGAUGCCAUCGCUUCUGGUACUCAUUUGGCAGUUGAAGCUCCCGUGAGGGAGACAAUUGAGUCUCCUAGGGAGGAUCCACCAGCAAAACCAUCUUCAUCUCCUAUUGAACAAAAUGACGCUUCCAAUGAAGAGGAGGAUGAGUUCGCUCGGCUGGCUCAAAGAAAAAACAAAUCUGUGAUAAGUAGCGAUGAGACGUCAUCAAGCACAAGCACUGUGGACCUUGCCCUCGUACCCAUUGAUCUGCCAAGCUCAGAAUCGCCACCUUCUGUUGCAAGCAAUGCAUUGGUUCCCCUUGAUCCAGCUCCUGCCACUAGUAGUACUCAAACCAAAGAGCAGGAUAUGAUUGACCUUCUAAGCCUCACUUUGUGCAGCCCUACUGAUGAAACUUCUACAGAUUCUUCAGCACAGGGUCAAAAUGGCCUCCAGCAGCCUCCAGAUGGGCAACAAAAUCCUACUGGUAUGCCCCAGUAUCCUCCAACCAACCAGCCAUACUCAGUAAACCAAGGAUAUACUCCACAGAAUAGGAACUAUGUUGCACCUUGGGCCCAAACUGGACCAUAUCCAUCUCAAGCCCAGACCGGACCAUAUCCAUCUCAAGCCCAAACCGGACCAUAUCCAUCUCAAGCCCAAACCGGACCAUAUCCAUCUCAAGCCCAAACCGGACCAUAUCCAUCUCAAGCCCAAACCGGACCAUAUCCAUCUCAAGCCCAAACUGGACCAUAUCCAUCUCAAGCCCAAACCAGACCAUAUCCAUCUCAAGCCCCAGCAUACGCAUCCGGAUAUCCAGUGCCACCUUGGGCGACACCUCCAACUGUCAAUUCUAAUCCUUUCCUGCCGGCUGCUUACCAAGAACAACUCCCCUCGGCAGCAACCACCUACGCAGCUCCCUCACCUUCAUAUAGCUCUCCUCCAGCCUCCCAGCCAAUGCAACAGUACAGUUCUGUGGGUUCUUCAACAAGCAAUGGUCUAACGAUGCCUCAAGCUCCAAAUGGGAAUCAUCAACCGAAGGAUUCUUCAGCAGCGGCAAGCAAACCUUACUACAUACUCGAUAAUUUGUUCAGUGAUUUGAUUGACUUGAAGAGCACCAGUGGUGGAAAUAAGACUGGUACUAGUUUGGGUAGCUCAAAUGGUGGCCAGCCUAUGAUUGGUGGAAAGAAAUAA
rnacentral:rRNA from 1 species